rnacentral:rRNA from 1 species
AUUGAACGCUGGCGGCAGGCCUAACACAUGCAAGUCGAGCGAGCGGCGGACGGGUGAGUAAUGUCUUGGAAACUGCCUGAUGUAGUGGGAUAACUACUGGAAACGGUAGCUAAUACCGCAUACCAUCAGAUGUGCCCAGAUGGGAUUAGCUAGUUUGUGGGGUAACGGCUCACCCAGGCGACGAUCCCUAGCGGGUCUGAGAGGAUGACCAGCCACACUGGAACUGAGACACGGUCCAGACUCCUACGGGAGGCAGCAGUGGGGAAUAUUGCGCAAUGGGGGCAAGCCUGAUGCAGCCAUGCCGCGUGAAUGAAGAAGGCCUUCGGGUUGUAAAGUACUUUCAGCGGGGAGGCGUUACCGGCAGAAGAAGCACCGGCUAACUCCGUGCCAGCAGCCGCGGUAAUUC